GCCUCGUGCUGUGCUGCGUCGGCUGGGAGCUAGGUCCGCAGCCUCCGCCCGGAUCUUCCCGCUUUCCCGGAUUUUCAAAGGCCCAAAGUGGCCGCUGCCCUCUCAGUUUCCUGCUCUGGGGGCUCUUCUCCAAGAACUCGCCCACGCAAACUCUCAGCAGCCUCUGAAAAGGAGACUGAGGUGCAGUAAAAGGAAGUGGUUUUCAAAGGACACAUCGGUUAUGAGAGGAUCACCAACCUCCCAUGUCGUCUGCUCCUGACAUCCAAGCAUCACCAUCAUCAUGGCUCAGUGAUCCACCAUCACCUGAGACAGAAGAUCCUCCUUCUGACUGUCAUCGGAAGGCCUACAGUAACCUAACCCUACGUCACAAUGGCCACGUCACUCGCCUCACUUCAUCUCAUCUUGCAAGCAUUUUAUCAUCUCACGUCAUCACAAGAAGAAGGGACACAAUAUACAGGAUUAUCUCCCCACCUGAGAGAAGCUUCCAUGGAUUCCUGUAAGGCGGAGAGGUCAUGUGGAUCCAUAAUGUGUCCAGAGGUCCAGGGACAAGCUGGCAAGUAGUGGAGUCCCUUCCAGAAGGAGACAAAGGAAGGCAGAGGAGGAACCAACGAGUCCGGAAAGACUCAGCCCUCCGUACCGGUCCUGAGUGUUGGCCUGUUUCCCCUCCCAUCCUGCCAGCCCUGCAAAGGCCGACACACACCUGCUUGGCUUACUCCUGUGUCCUGAGAGCCCAGCCUAGCAUCUGGCACGUAACUGGUGCAUGGUAACAUGUGGCAAAGGCAGUCGGAUGCUGGCACAGACUCGGCCACCCAGAGCCUGGAGCACCACGCUGCAGCCCACACACGGAGAACUGCACCCACUGCUGCAGAGCAAGGGGGAAGGGGGUGUCCCUCCCAGGAUGUGAGGUGAGAGCAGCCAGGACCUCAGGAGGGACUCCUCCAGCGAGGGUCACUAAGCUGAGAUCCACACAUGGAAGCCUUCUGGUGGAACAAAAGAAGGGAAAGGUGUUCCAGGCAGAAGGAAUAGCAUGUGCAAAAGUUCAAGGCAAUGAAAAUGCAUGGUAGGGGUGUUCCCCUUUUGGCUCAGUGGUAAUGAACCUGACUAGCAUCCAUGAGGAUACGUGUUUGAUCCCUGGCCUCGCUCUGUGCAUUAAGGAUCUGGCAUUGCUGUGAGCUGUGGUGUAAGUCACAAACACCACUUGGAUCCUGUGUUGCUGCGGCUGUGGUGUAGGCGGGCAGAUGCUGCACCGAUUCACCUCCUAGCCUGAGAACUUCCAUGUGCUGCAGGUGUGGCCCUAAAAAAGCAAACAAAGAAAGUGCAUGGUGGGUCCCUGGGAGUGACUGACAGGAGGGGCCGUGGGAGGGGACACCUAAAAGGUUCCUAGCACCUAAGCCUUCGACAUGGUCCAAAUGAAACGCUCAGUACAAUGCUAGAGAAAAGAAAAAAUCCAAUCCUCCCAGGCUAUUCACUUCCUCCCCACCCAAGCCUGCUCUUGGCAACUCCUCACCACAGAGGGACUGGUUUCUGAGAACAGCUUGAGGCAGAAGUCCUCGGGGGUGGUUCUGCUUGAUCAGGAUCCAGACCACCAGGGGGAAGGAGGGCAGAGGCCAUGUUCUAAGUGCUUUAAGUCUUUAAUCUCUACUCACUUGGUCUCUACAAUACCCUGCGUAGUAGAUUCUAUUAUUACACCAAUUUUACAGAUGGGGAAACCAAGCAACAAGAGGUUAAGAGCUGCCUAGUAUCUCACAGAUAGUACACUGAGCAAUGCAACUGGGGUAUGAAUGCAAGCAAACUGCCUCCAGGGACCUGCCCCACUGCCUUGUCCCCCCUGUGAGGCACUUACUGGGAAGACCCACAGUAUAGGUGUUUUACAUGCAGACCUCACCCCAUCUUCCCAUCAGCCCUGAGAUGUGUCACUGAUGGCCCCUAUUUUAGAGCCAGGGACAGCCUCAUUUAGGUGAAAGUUUCACACUUAGGAGAAGGAACCUCCUGACCCAAGUGCAAACGUUGGCUUGAACCUUGUUUCAAGCCUCAGUCGAGAGACCGGUCUGUGGGGAAUAAGCCAGUUCUGAGAACCACGCAGGUUUCCUGCCUCAUUGCCCCAGCUCAGGCCCAGGGAGCCUGGAUUGUCAGAAGAGGCAGUUUAGACAGCUCAGGGUUAAGGUUGGUGGCCAGGAGUUUCCUUCUUUGAGCUGCUAGAGGUAACCUGGGAUGGGUCUGGUCUGGAGACAUUCCUAGAAUCAAAACCCUGCCACUUCUCCCAACCCCUGACUAGCUCGAUGACCUUGGGCAAAUGCUUUAACGUCUGUGCCUUCACUUCCCCAUGUGUAAAAUGGGGGAGGUAAUAUCUCCCUUGUAGAACUCUUAUAAAGAUUAGGAGUUCCCUUUGUGGCUCAGUGGUUAAUGAACCCAACUAGGAUCCAUGAGGAUGAGAGUUUGAUCCCUGGCCUCGAUCAGGGGAUUAAGGAUCUGGUGUUGCCGUGAGCUGUGAUAUAGGUUGCAGGUGUGGCUUGGUUGUGGUGUAGGCCAGCAGCUGUAGGUCCGAUUCAACCCCUAGCCUAGGAACCUCCAUAUGCCACAGGUGUGGCCCUAAAAAACAAAAACAAAACAAAACAAAAAAAAUUAUAUGAAAUGUGAAAUGGGUACCUAAAGCCCCUAAUCCAUGCCUGGUAUGUAAUCAUGAUGAUACUAAUAUUAAAAAGAAUAAUAGAGGCUCACAGAAGGAAUUGGCCCAAGGUCAUGCCCAGUGCGCCUUCUGCCCAUACUCUUCUUUGUCGAGCCUCUACUUCCAUGGAUGACUCCAGCUCUCUGGUAGUUCCUGUGGGUUAAAACCAGAGUCCAGAGGCCUCUUCGGACCCUCUCCCUGGCAGCCCCGCUCCCAGCCACCUCCAGAGCAGGUGGCUGGCAACUACUUAGUGACAUGUAAGUCUAUGUCUCUCCUCUGGGCCAACUCAAGAACCAGAGGCUAGCACAUUUCCCAUGGCUUCAGAGGAACUCAGUGAAUGUUGUUGAAUGAAUGCGGGCAGGCACCCUCCAAUCAUGUUCCUUCUUCAUCCUCCCUUUCCCUGGAAAAGAUUCUCUAAUCCUGAGAUAACUUCAAAUGCCUCCUCAUGUCAGGCACAUACAAAACCCUCUGCUGCUGGCCCGUGUAGUCCCAUCUGCCUGGCUGACGAACCACCCCCAUCAUAUUCUCCUGUGUCCUUCAUAAUGCUCGUCAUGCACCUGCCUUUGCUUAUUCUGUUCCCUGUGCUGGAGAUGCCCUUCCCUUCCCUCCCAGGCCCCCUUGGAAAAUUUCUAGUCAUCAUUCAAAAUACGUUUUAUUCAUUCCACAAAUAUGUAUUGAAUGCCCACGAUAUGCCAGGUACUGUUCUAGACCUUGAGGCUAUGUCAAGGAGCAAAAUAGAAGUUCCUGGGCAAUGAGGCCUACAGCCUACUGACCACCUGGGAGCAGAAGCUUCUAAGUUGGUUAAAGAUGGGGUGGGGGAGAGUACCCACAGCUCCAGCAACCCCCUCCUGGAGAACCCUUUUCUCUAAUCCCCCUCCAUUCUCAGAUAGCUGUGGCCUGCUUCCUGGUGACCCCUCUGUACCAGGACACAGACUAUAAGGGUCUAUUUACAUGUCUGUUGGUCAGAAGAGAUGGGAUGAAGAUGGAGGAAUAGAAGGACUGGAGCUCAACUUCUCCUAAAAACAACAAUAUUCACAACUAAAGGCUGAGCAAUCUUCAACCAAAUGGACCAGAAACUUUCAAAAAGAUAUCCUACUCCAGAGGACAAAGAGGAGGCCACAUCAAGUGGUAGGAGGGGCAAUUACAUGAUAUAAACAACCCCAUACCUCCCGGGUGGGAUGCCCCACAGACUGGAAACUAACUGGUUCACAGAGACUCACCUAUAGGAGUGAGAAUUCUGAGCCCCACAUCAAACUCUAACGUGUGGGUAUCUGGCACUGGGAGAAAGAGCCCCUGGAGCAUCUGGCAUUGAAGGCCAGUGGGGCUUGUGUGCAGGAGCUCCACAGGACUGAGGGAAAUGGAGACCCCAUUCUUGAAAGGUGCACACAGACAUUCACAUGCACUGGGUCCCAGGGCAAAGCAAAGUCUCCAUAGGAAUCGGGGUCAAACCUGACUGUAGCUCUUGGAGGACAUCCUGGGAAAACAGGCGUGAAUGUGGCUUGUUGUGAGGGAAGGACAUUGGAAGCAAAGCUCUCGGGAAUAUUCAGCAGCCUGGCUUUCUCUGGAGGUGGCCAUUUUGGGAAAAUCUGGCCCCACACAUCAGUCAGUGCUGAGAAACCCCAGGACAAACAACAAUCUAGGUGGGAUCACAGCCCCACCCCUCAGUAAACAGGCUACCUAAAGACCCCUUAGGCACACAGCCACCUCUAGUCCCAUCCAGAGACAAAGCCCCACCCACCAGAGGGAUUAGAAUCAACUCCAUGUACCAGUGGGCAGGCAUCAGUCCCUUCCAUCAGGAAGCCUACAGCAAGCCCCCAUACCAACUUCAGCCACAAGGGGAGCAGACACGAGAAGUAAAAAGAUCACCACACCAAAAACCUAUUAAAAUGAAGACAGAGAACUAUAACUCAGAUGAGGGAGAAAGAAAAAAA
rnacentral:lncRNA from 1 species